rnacentral:rRNA from 1 species
GUGGGGAAUUUUGGACAAUGGGCGCAAGCCUGAUCCAGCAAUGCCGCGUGCAGGAUGAAGGCCUUCGGGUUGUAAACUGCUUUUGUACGGAACGAAAAGGUUCUCUCUAAUACAGGGGGCUGAUGACGGUACCGUAAGAAUAAGCACCGGCUAACUACGUGCCAGCAGCCGCGGUAAUACGUAGGGUGCAAGCGUUAAUCGGAAUUACUGGGCGUAAAGCGUGCGCAGGCGGUGAUGUAAGACAGAUGUGAAAUCCCCGGGCUCAACCUGGGAACUGCAUUUGUGACUGCAUGGCUGGAGUGCGGCAGAGGGGGAUGGAAUUCCGCGUGUAGCAGUGAAAUGCGUAGAUAUGCGGAGGAACACCGAUGGCGAAGGCAAUCCCCUGGGCCUGCACUGACGCUCAUGCACGAAAGCGUGGGGAGCAAACAGGAUUAGAUACCCUUGUAGUAC